GAAAUGCGAUAAGUAAUGUGAAUUGCAGAAUUCAGUGAAUCAUCGAAUCUUUGAACGCACAUUGCGCCCCCUGGUAUUCCGGGGGGCAUGCCUGUUCGAGCGUCAUUUCACCACUCAAGCCUCGCUUGGUAUUGGGCAACGCGGUCCGCCGCGUGCCUCAAAUCGACCGGCUGGGUCUUCUGUCCCCUAAGCGUUGUGGAAACUAUUCGCUAAAGGGUUCUCGGGAGGCUACGCCGUAAAACAACCCCAUUUCUAAGGUUGACCUCGGAUCAGGUAGGGAUACCCGCUGAACUUAAGC
rnacentral:misc_RNA from 1 species